rnacentral:tRNA from 1 species
GGGGUUGUAGUUAAAAAUAACAUUUAAUUUGCAAUUAAAAAGUAUUCUAAAUAUGAAUCUUCCUCA